AUUGAACGCUGGCGGCAGGCUUAACACAUGCAAGUCGAACGAGUGGCGUCCGUGUUCGUAAUGCUUGGGACUCUAGCUUAUGGAUGGCGAUAGCUACGGGAAACUGUAGCUAAUACCGCGUACCCUAGUAUGAGCCCAAGUGGCAUGAGGUAGUUGGUGGGGUAAAGGAUCACCAAGCCGCCGAUCUCUAGCUGGUCUGAGAGGAUGACCAGCCAAUAUGGGACUGAGACACGGCCCAGACGCCUACGGGAGGCAGCAGUGGGGAAUAUUGGGCAAUGGGGGCAACCUGACGCAGCCAUGCCGCGUGAAUGAAGAAGGCCUUCGGGUUGUAAAGUUCUUUCGGUAGCGAGGCGUUACCUACAGAAGAAGCACCGGCUAACUCCGUGCCAGCAGCCGCGGUAAUUC
rnacentral:rRNA from 1 species